GUUGUUCGAUUAAUCGAGUACAAGAGUUCGUGUUUAAAUAAUCGAGGAGAGGAGUUGAAAACUCAAAACCAUUACCUCUUUUAUUCUUAAGUGAAAUAGUAUUUGAUUGUGAUUAGGUAUUUUUAAUGGAGUUGAAAACUCAAAACCAUUACCUCUUUUAUUCUUAAGUGAAAUAGUAUUUGAUUGUGAUUAGGUAUUUUUAAUUCUUAAUAAAGAAUACUCGAUGUUGGAUCGAGGUUUUAAAUUUGUAUUUUUGUGAAUGAAUUGAAUUUAUUUAGUGAAUA
rnacentral:lncRNA from 1 species